rnacentral:rRNA from 1 species
UGGGGAAUUUUGGACAAUGGGCGAAAGCCUGAUCCAGCAAUGCCGCGUGUGUGAAGAAGGCCUUCGGGUUGUAAAGCACUUUUGUCCGGAAAGAAAUCCUUGGCUCUAAUACAGUCGGGGGAUGACGGUACCGGAAGAAUAAGCACCGGCUAACUACGUGCCAGCAGCCGCGGUAAUACGUAGGGUGCAAGCGUUAAUCGGAAUUACUGGGCGUAAAGCGUGCGCAGGCGGUUUGCUAAGACCGAUGUGAAAUCCCCGGGCUCAACCUGGGAACUGCAUUGGUGACUGGCAGGCUAGAGUAUGGCAGAGGGGGGUAGAAUUCCACGUGUAGCAGUGAAAUGCGUAGAGAUGUGGAGGAAUACCGAUGGCGAAGGCAGCCCCCUGGGCCAAUACUGACGCUCAUGCACGAAAGCGUGGGGGAGCAAACAGGAUUAGAUACCCCUGGUAGUCCACGCCCUAAACGAUGUCAACUAGUUGUUGGGGAUUCAUUUCCUUAGUAACGUAGCAACGCGUGAAGUUGACCGCCUGGGGAGUACGGUCGCAAGAUUAAAACUCAAAUGAAUUGACGGGGAUC